UAUCUCUGGUUCCUUUGCAUUCAACGAGAAAAUCUUUCGCCUUUUACUAAAGAUUUCCGUGCAAAGGGACAUUUAUGAGUUUCCAAUAAUUUUUGGAGUCCCGGCUUCGGCUAGGGAC
rfam:Toxocara canis scaffold136, whole genome shotgun sequence.